GCUGACCUCUCCCAGGGCCCACGCAUCACACCAGGCAAGACUUUUUUCAUCUGCACACAGCACGGACUGGCACUGACUCCCAGCUGCCCUCCAGGCAGGAUGUGGACUCCCCCUGCUUUGUUCAUCAGUGUCAAAUGUCCCAGCUCUGGUUCCAACAAUAACACUGGCUCCUCGAACCUCCAACCCAAGGAACGGGUUCUGCCAAGACAAUGUGCCUUAGGAGCUGAGACUACCAGUGGACCAGAAUUCCAGCAGUUCUCCAGGUAUGAGCUCCCAGCAGAAGGGACAGUGUUGACUAGAGAAUCCAUCAGAAAAGUUUGUUUUCUGGAAGGACAGGACUGGCUGAUGCUGAGAAGGGAGGGGAGUAGGAGAGGCAGGAACUCCCAGCACAGACCCCAGCCACUCCACCUGUCACCCCAAAGAGCUGGUCAUGCCCCGGAUCACGUUCCAUCUCCCAGUGGGGAAAGGCAGCCAGCCACCCUCAGAGGAAAGCGUCCAUGUGGCCACCGAUGGCAGGGAGAGCAGUGUGGGGAGAAAUCUCUAUUUGGAAGAGGAGACAUAGUUGGGUGGGUGGUUCCCUGGCCUUAUCAGGCCUCUGCAGUCCAGCAUGGCACUGGGAGAGAUGGGCCGUCCUAUCUCUGCCCUGCUGGGCUUGGCUCAGUCCCCACUUAG
rnacentral:lncRNA from 1 species